rnacentral:tRNA from 1 species
AUCUAUAUAGUAUAAAAGUAUAUUUGACUUCCAAUCAUAAGGUCUAUUAAUUAGUAUAGAUA